ensembl:lncRNA
ACACACACACACACACACACACACACACACACACACACACACACACACACACAAACACGUGAAAAGGUCAAGUGUGUGAGAUGUGAGACUUAUUGUCUUAAGCAAACAUCUGCCUAAAUUCCAAUUUGACCGUCAACACAUAUAUAUAUAUAUAUUAUAUUAAAGUGUUUUCCCCCCACCUACUGUUGAUACAAACUGCAAGGUGUGUCAGAUAGACUCUGAGGUGAUCUUCACGGCACCAGAAACGCAGAAACGAUUCGGACGGCAAGGUUUGUCAGACAGACCCCUAGCUGAGGUGAUCUUCACAACACCAUAAAUGAGGACAGCUGUGACACAGAGGACAUAGCAGAUGUGUGAUCACGCAAUUGUCCAGGACAACCUGUCCAAUUAUCCAGUGCUGAAGAACCUUUUGCCAGAGGACUACAGCUAUCACGUGUGCUCCUUUGAGUCACAGGGGGACCAAAACAAUUUCAGGACUAACCUGAAGUUAAGGUUGACCCGGGAGGAGGAGGUGCAGAAGUGGCAGGAGGAUUUCCAGGCGUCCUCAGGCUUAACGUGGCGAAAGUCAAAGACCUAUCCAGAUGCUGGUGAUGGCUCUAACAAGUACAGGGUUGACUUGAGGUGCCACCACAACACCCGCACCAGUACUGCCAAGACUAGCAAAAACACCUCCUGCCCUGCAUUUAUGUACCUGAUUCUGAAAAGACAGACGUAUAGUAAAGGGCGGAAGUCAAGGUCUGAAGACCCCCACAUCAAGGAGGGGUACUACUUCCAUGUUGUUGUGAAAAACAGCCACAACCACUGUGUGCCCUUUGCGGCAGUCUCGGCUAAGAGAGAUGUCUCAAAAGAGACCGAAGGAAAAACUGAAGAAACUCUUUGAAAGUGGCCGGUUGCCAGGAAUCUCAUGUGGAGGGGAUGCCCAAACUGAGUUCUGUGAGGACUUUCCUCCAGAUGACACAUGAGUCAAUAUCACUAUGAAGUGCCUUUGGUGUCCUCAUCAGACUCACUCAGUCAUCAUGAAAAUGUAGCAGAAUAAUGAAAGUUUGAGGUCUUAUUAUAAGUGGCCAAACAUUUGCACACAUAUCAGUACAAUGAUAAGUCUCUUAAAAUGUGUUUCCUUCAUUUUACACAUAUUUUUUUCAUUUGAUGUACUUGAUUUUGGCAUGUCCCACACACUGCUCUGCUAACUACAAUGUGUGUAAUAAGUGGUUAAAUGAUACUAAAUAAAAAAAGAAUUUACAUGGUUUUAUUGUCCACGAUAAGUUAUUUGAUAAAACAAGUAAUUUUGAUCAUGUAUAUUCUAUUUUCAUAAUCAUAUUGAACAUUUUGCAUGUGUCCCUGAGAAUUGCUGUCCACCCUGUCAUUAUGGGGUAACUGACCCUUUAAGAAACCCUCUGAUGUUUUCAAUGACAUCACUACAAGCAUUUUGUCUUUCUUCAAUGGAGGCUGAAGCAGUGGCUAAUUGCAGAGCAACGGCGUCAAGGGGAAAGCAUUCGAAGGAGUGCGAAGAGAAAUCUUUUAAAUUCGGCGCACUAUGCAGGUCUUUACUAUUCUGGCAUUACACUAUAAACAUGACAUAUGUUAUUGCAUGAGAAACAUGAACCAUUGUCCAUGAGAAAUGGUUAUGCUUUGUUUGCACAAACCGGAUUGAAUAAAUGUCCCAAUAUGUCAUUUCCUGCUAAUGAACGUAAUAUUCUACUUCAACCCCAAGGCACAUCUGUACUUGAGGACGAGCUGGCACGUGUUUUCAAGUCACUCACACUCAAGCUGAGAGGUGACCCCAACUUCAUAGACCCUCUGACAUCAUUCAUCGCGUCCUAUGACAAAAUGACCACGGACAGUGCACUACGAUCAGCCUUUUCA